CAUGUGCGCCAGCGCCUGCCCUGUGCCAGGCCGUGUGCAGGGGGCGGGCACAGGCGAGUAUUCAGGGGCCUAGAGCUCAGUCUCUCCUGCACCUGCCUCUCCAGGCUUGGCACAGACCGUGCCUCCUGCUAGCUGGCCAGGUCCCCUGUUCUUGAGCUGUGUGGACCUCUCACCCCGUCGGUCUCCUUGCCCCUUCCUCCUUCCCCCGUUCCUCUCCAGGGCCACCAGGUCCCUCAGGAAGCACACACAUACCCCCAUUAUCCAAUUUGGGGAUGGCCCCCUAUCUCCAUGGGGAGGAGAGGGAAGGACCUUCAGCAGGGGGCAGGGCCCAAGGGGUCCCUCCUGCAGCAGGGGGCCCGGCAGGCUCCCAGCUGUGCUCUGUCUUGUCUGGGCCCCUCCCCGUGGCUACUGUUGCAGGAAGCAGCCGCCUGGGCAGCGGUCCCCAGGCUGGAAGGAGCGAGGGUGGCGGCUGGCAGGGGCUGCAACCAGGAAUGACAUCCGGAACACGGUGGGCAACGUGCCCUUGGAGUGGUACGAUGACUUCCCCCACGUGGGCUACGACCUGGAUGGCAGGCGCAUCUACAAGCCCCUGCGGACCCGGGAUGAGCUGGACCAGUUCCUGGACAAGAUG
rnacentral:sRNA from 1 species